UGACCUCUGACCUCAAAUCAAGUAGGACUACCCGCUGAACUUAAGCAUAUCAUAAAG
rnacentral:rRNA from 1 species